GAUAAUCGAUUAUGUUAAGGCAGCUGCAAGACAAUCGAUUGCGUACCUUAUGAUAAUCGAUUGUGUUGAGGCAGCGUCCAUCAGAUUUUUCAAAGCUGCAAGACAAUCGAUUGUGUACCUUAUGAUAAUCGAUUGUGUUGAGGCAGUGUCCAUCAGAUUUUUCAAAGCUGCAAGACAAUCGAUUGUGUACCUUAUGAUAAUCGAUUGUGUUGAGACAGUGUCUAUCAGGUUUUUCAAAGCUACAAAAUAAUCGAUUGUGCACCUUAUGACAAUCGAU
rnacentral:lncRNA from 1 species